rnacentral:rRNA from 1 species
AGCGAACGCUGGCGGUAGGCCUAACACAUGCAAGUCGAACGGCAGCACAGGAGAGCUUGCUCUCUAGGUGGCGAGUGGCGGACGGGUGAGGAAUACAUCGGAAUCUGCCCAGUCGUGGGGGAUAACGUAGGGAAACUUACGCUAAUACCGCAUACGACCUUCGGGUGAAAGAGGGGGAUCGCAAGACCUCUCGCGAUUGGAUGAGCCGAUGUCGGAUUAGCUAGUUAGCGGGGUAAUGGCCCACCAAGGCGACGAUCCGUAGCUGGUCUGAGAGGAUGAUCAGCCACACUGGAACUGAGACACGGUCCAGACUCCUACGGGAGGCAGCAGUGGGGAAUAUUGGACAAUGGGCGCAAGCCUGAUCCAGCCAUACCGCGUGGGUGAAGAAGGCCUUCGGGUUGUAAAGCCCUUUUGUUGGGAAAGAAAUCUUUCAGGCUAAUACCCUGGGAGGAUGACGGUACCCAAAGAAUAAGCACCGGCUAACUUCGUG